CUACAAUGAUGGCAAUAUGUUUCAUCGACAGCAGUUCACCCAUUGAGUGUUGAUACCGUGGGUCUGAGUGA
rnacentral:snoRNA from 10 species